rnacentral:tRNA from 1 species
GGAGAGGUGUCCGAGUGGUCGAAGGAGCACGCCUGGAGAGCGUGUAUCCCGCUUCAAACGGGAUCGCGGGUUCGAAUCCCGCUCUCUCCG